AUGAUUUUUCUUAAAAGGAAGUGCAGAAGCUGAACGACUUGUUCCUCAAGAUAUCUGGGUCAAUUUUUUCACUACAAAUCAAGCAACACAAGACUCCCGCGAUCUUCCCAAUCUUUCUCACAACUCGCUCUCUCAAGAUUUGUAGAUCAGUGUGAUCUUUAUGAUGGCAACUGAACCGAAGGCAGCUACUGAGGAAGUGAAAGUUGACCUCUUCGAGGAUGACGAUGAGUUCGAAGAGUUUGAGAUUAAUGAAGAGUGGGAAGUCAAGGAAGGUAAAGAAAUUACUCAGCAGUGGGAAGACGACUGGGACGAUGACGAUGUGAAUGACGACUUCUCGUUGCAACUUAAGAGAGAAUUGGAGCACAAUGCUGUGAGAAAAUGAAGAGACACUUAGGAAUCUUAUUCAACCAGGAAUGUACCAAAAACUUCAACCAUUAUGAACUUGCUGUCAUGAAUUGGAUCCGACCUUGAGGUUUAAAAUUUGAUCAAUUUUGGGUGUGGCCUUGUGAGAAGGAAUUGAUGAGGGGCAAGAAAAAAGGUACGGAAUUCUGUAUCAUAUCCAUUUGUUUUCUUUCAUAGUAAGAACAUUAAGUGCUCCAUA